GACGAACGCUGGCGGCGUGCCUAAUACAUGCAAGUAGAACGCUGAAGGAGGAGCUUGCUUCUCUGGAUGAGUUGCGAACGGGUGAGUAACGCGUAGGUAACCUGCCUGGUAGCGGGGGAUAACUAUUGGAAACGAUAGCUAAUACCGCAUAAUAGCAGUUAUUGCAUGAUAACUGUUUGAAAGGUGCAAUUGCAUCACUACCAGAUGGACCUGCGUUGUAUUAGCUAGUUGGUGGGGUAACGGCUCACCAAGGCGACGAUACAUAGCCGACCUGAGAGGGUGAUCGGCCACACUGGGACUGAGACACGGCCCAGACUCCUACGGGAGGCAGCAGUAGGGAAUCUUCGGCAAUGGACGGAAGUCUGACCGAGCAACGCCGCGUGAGUGAAGAAGGUUUUCGGAUCGUAAAGCUCUGUUGUAAGAGAAGAACGAGUGUGAGAGUGGAAAGUUCACACU
rnacentral:rRNA from 1 species